rnacentral:rRNA from 1 species
CUAUUAGACGGAUAGCUUGGCUUGAAUAGCGAAGAAGGACGUGGCAAGCUGCGAUAAGCUUGGGCGAGCCGCAUGCGGGCUUUGAACCUAAGAUCUCCUAAUGUGAAACAUGAAUUUCAUUCCGAAAGGAAAGCUGACGCCGGGAAUUGAAACAUCUUAGUACCGGCAGGAAAAGAAAACAAGUUAGUGAUUUCCCCAGUAGCAGCGAGCGAAAAGGAAGAAGGGCGAACCGAAUCUUUGCUUGAAAAGGCGUAAGAGAUGUGGUGAGAUUGAGGCUAAGUCAACGAAUUGAAUUUGCCUGGAAAGGUAAACCUUGGAGGGUGAGAGUCCCGUAGAUGAAGUUGAUAUGUCGUGUCUCGAAUGAGUAGGGCCUCUCGGAUUAGGGGCCUGAAUAUGGUAGAAUUAACUACUAACCCUAAAUAUUGAUUCAAGUCCGAUAGCGUAAUAGUACCGCGAGGGAAAGCUGAAAAGUACUCUCACAAGAGGGUUAAAAGACUUGAAAUCUAAUAGUUACAAGAUUGCUACUGCUCUACGGAGUUGUAGCGUACGUUUUGGAAAACGGGCCGGGGAGUUUUUCUUUGUGGCAAGGUUAAUUAAAUGAAGCCGAAGCGAAAGCAAGUAUGAAAAUGCGUUAGUCACUGAGAGAAGACCUGAAGCCAGAUGAUCUAGUCCUGAGCAGGAUGAAGUUUUUCGAAAGAGAAAUGGAGGUCCGAACUAGUGCUGUGUACAUGCGCUUGGAUGACUUGGGAUUAGGGGUGAAAAGCCACUCGAAUCUGGCCAUGGCUGGUUCCUGUUGAAAUAUGCCAGGGUAUAGUCUUGUAUUGUUUGUCGACGAGGUAAAGUACGGAUAAGUCUUGCAGAGGCAAAUGCCUACGGGGAAUUUUCCAACUCAGAACUUGUCGACUGCUGAGUACAAGAUACAGCUGGUGUAUGUAAGAUACAUCAACGAGACCCGAACAAGGGAGACCAAAGUUAAGGUCCCAAAAUAUUCAUUAAGUGUAACGAAAGGAGUUUUUAUUCUGAGACAGUGGGGAUGUAGGUCUAGAAGCCGCCAUCAUUUAAAGAAAGCGUAACAGCUCACCUAUCGAGAAUAAAAGCCCUGAAGAUGGACGGGGCUAAAUGAAUUACCGACACUUUGGAGGUUAUCUGUAAAGAUAACUCUGGUAAACAGGCGUAUUAUUUGCGUAGAAGUUUUUACGUAAGUAGGGAUGGAGCGAAUAUUAGUGAUCAUCCCGGCGAUAGUAGGAUCUGAUCUUCCUGAAAACCGGAAGAUGGCGUAAGGGCAAGGUUUCCUUGGCACUAACAAUUAGCCAAGGGUUAGUCGGUUCCUAAGUUAUACCUUAACUGAGUAUAGCGAUGGACAGCUGGUUAAUAUUCCAGCACUUUUUAUUUUUGUUAAGUUCUUAAAAGCUUUCGGAUAAGUAGAGUAUCGAGAGAUAUAGCACGAGAGAAAUAAUUGGAUUGUAAUGAUGAGAAUUUUAUGAAUCUCUGUGAAUCUGCUGAUUCCAAGAGCCAGUGAAAAAUUUGAGAAAUAGAAAAUAAUUAGCCGUACCGAGAUCUAGCACUGGUGCCCUAGUUGAGAAGACUAAGCCAUGAAAGGUUAAAUUAGUUAAGGGAAUUCGGCCGAGUUAGUCCCGUAUCUUAGGUAGAAGGGAUGUCUAUUUCUUUGUAUGAAUUUUUGUAUGGGGAAGUAGAUCUCAGUAACAAGGACGGUCCGACUGUUUACCAAAAACGUAGCUGAGUGCUAAUCCGAAAGGACUUGUAUACUCAGUGAAACCUGCCCAGUGGUGGUGUCCAAACCUCUCUUUCAAGGGAGUGAAGGCCCAUCAAACGGCGGGCGUAACUAUGACGCUCUUAAGGUAGCGUAAUGCCUUGUCGUCUGAAUGGCGACGUGCAUGAAUGGUUUAACGUGACUGUCACUGUCCCUAACUAAAGCCUUCCGAAACCACUCGACGGUGUACAGGCCGUCAUCACCUAGUGGGAAGCGAAGACCUUGUAGACCUUUACUGCAGCCUGUUGUUGUUAUUUUAUUGAGAGUGCUUAGCGUAGGUAGGAGCGUCGAAACUAUUUCUCUGGGAAUAGCGGAGCAAAAGUGUAACACUACCCAUUCUUGAUAAAAUAACUAACCUUUUUGGGACAGCAAUUGGUGGGCAGUUUGGCUGGGGCGGCACCCGGUCGAAAAUGUAUCGAUCGGGCCCAAAAACAAGCUCAUCCAGGUCGGAAAUCUGGAGUAGAGUGUAAAGGCAAAAGCUUGUUUGACUGUAUUUCGAAAAGCAAGAAAUGCAGGAGUGAAAGCUUGGCUUAGCGAACUUUCGUAGACUUUUAAUGGGUCUCGAAAAUGACAGAAAAGGUACCUCAAGGAUAACAGGCUUGUCGCCCCUAAUAGUUCACAUUGACGGGGCGGUUUGGUACAUCGCUGUCGGCUCUUCCUAUCCUGCGCGUGCAGAAGCGUGCAAGGGUGCCGGAGUUCACGCAUUAAAAGGGAUCGUUAGCUGGGUUAAGAACGUCGCGAGACAGUUUGUAUGAUAUCUACUAGGUGUGUUAUUGUCUGAGUGGAACUAGUAUCUAGUACGAGAGGAACGGUACUGGGAUGCCUCUGGUGUAUCGGUUGUCAUGUGGCAGGCCGAGCAGCUACGCAUUAUGUCGAUAAGCGCUGAAAGCAUCUAAGCGCGAAGCGACCCGCAAAACGAGACAAUUAAAGCCGUCAAAGAAGAUGACGUCGAUAGAGUUGGAGUGUACGCAUCAAGCCUCGGCGAGAUGUUCAGCUUGCAACUACUAAAAGCUUU